GUCGGUGAUAGGAAGUCGAGGUGGCGCUCAACCCUGCGUCCCAGAAGGCUGGUCUGGUCGCCCAGUCUGUGUGUUCCCUAGCCGGACUCUGCAGGCCGGGCUGGCGGUGCAUGGAAUCCAGAAUUCGUGCGGAGGCAGGAUGCUUGCGGCUGACGAUAUCGGCGAAGUGCCGGCAGCCCCGUGCUGCCCCGAGAGUGGUGACGAAACGAAGAACACAGACGUGAAAAGUGACGUGAACACUGCAGCUCCUGCUGGAAGCGAGCAGCUCAGCCAAGGUGGCAGUGACGACGCGCUCCUUUCCUAUGUGUCUGCAUUCAUAGAGAAGGAAGUGGGAAGUGACCUUAAGUCUUUGAAGACACUUGGUAAACUCAUAGAACAAAUGACAGAAAGCAAAGUGAAGUUAGAAGAACAGGUACUUACAAUUUCAUCAGAAAUCCCUAAAAGAAUUCAAAGUGCUUUAAAAGAUGCAGAGGAAUCCAAACAACUUCUUGAUGAGUUUCUGGAGCAGGAAGCGCCUCUCUUCAGCUCCAUUAGCAGCCAUCUGCUGAUGGCUCAGCCCUGGAUGGAUGACCUUGGAGCCAUGAUCACCCAGAUGGAAGAGAUUGAGCGGCAUCUCGCAUACCUUAAGUGGGUGUCGCAGACUGAGGAGCUGAGUGAUAACAUUCAGCAGUACCUGAUGACCAACAGUGUGCCAGAGGCAGCCUCUCUCCUGGUGACCAUGACAGAACUGGACAUCCAGCUUCAGGAGUCAUCCUGUACUCAUCUUCUUAGUUUCAUGAGAGCCACAGUUAAAUUCUGGCAUAAAAUUCUCAAGGACAAGCUUACCAGUGAUUUUGAGGAAGUCUUGGCACAGCUGCAUUGGCCAUUCACCUCACAUACCCAGUCGCAAACCGUUGGCGGGAGCCGGCCUGCCGGUACCCCGGAGCUGUACAGUAGCCUGGACACACUGUUUUGUCAGCUGUUGAAACUACAGGCCUCAGAUGAGUUAUUAACUGAGCCAAAACAACUCCCAGAAAAAUACUGUCUUCCUGCCUCCCCUCCCGUGACCCUGCCCAUACAGGUCAUGCUGGCUCCCCUGCAGAAGAGAUUCAGGUACCACUUCAGAGGCAGCCGGCAGACCAACGUCAUGAGCAAGCCUGAAUGGUACUUGGCUCAGGUACUUAUGUGGAUUGGAAACCAUACACAGUUUCUGGAUGAGAAGAUUCAGCCAAUAUUGGACAAAGUGGGCUCUGCAGUAAAUGCAAGGCUUGAGUUUUCCCGUGGCCUUGUGAUGCUCAUUCUUGAGAAGCUGGCUUCUGAUAUCCCCUGCCUGCUCUACGAUGACAGCCUCUUCUGUCACCUGGUGGAUGAGGUGCUGCUGUUUGAAAGGGAGCUGCACACCGUUCACGGCUAUCCCAGCACAUUCGCCAGCUGCAUGCACAUCCUGUCGGAGGAGACCUGUUUCCAGAGAUGGCUGACUGUGGAGAGAAAGUUUGCUCUUCAAAAAAUGGACUCAAUGCUUUCGUCAGAGGCUGCCUGGGUAUCCCAGUAUAAAGACAUCUCUGAUGUGGAUGAAAUGAAGGUUCCAGACUGUGCGGAAGUCUUUAUGACCCUGCUUUUGGUUAUAACUGACAGGUAUAAAAAUCUCCCCACAGCCUCCCGGAAACUGCAGUUCCUGGAGCUACAGAAGGACCUGGUAGAUGAUUUCAGGAUCCGGUUAACGCAGGUGAUGAAGGAGGAGACGAGAGCGGCCCUGGGCUUUCGUUCUUUCUGCAGCUGCAACAGGCAGCACUGGAGGUCUUUGCAGAGAAUAACGUCCUCAGUAAACUGCAGCUGGGACAGCUGGCCUCCAUGGAGAGCUCGGUCUUCGAUGACAUGAUCAACCUCUUAGAGCGUUUGAAGCUUGAUAUGUUGACCCGCCAAGUAGACCAUGUUUUCAGAGAAGUGAAAGACUCUGCAAAGUUGUAUAAGAAAGAAAGAUGGUUGUCCCUGCCGUCUCAGUCGGAACAGGCAGUGAUGUCGCUGUCCAGCUCAGCCUGCCCGCUCCUGCUGACCUUACGGGACCGUCUGCUCCAGCUGGAGCAGCAGCUGUGUUUCUCGCUAUUCAGAAUCUUCUGGCAAAUGCUGGCAGAGAAGCUGGACCUGUACAUCUACCAGGAAAUAAUCCUUGCUAACCACUUCAACGAAGGAGGAGCAGCCCAGCUGCAGUUUGAUAUGACAAGGAACCUCUUUCCUUUGUUUUCUCACUAUUGCAAGAGACCAGAAAACUAUUUUAAACAUGUAAAAGAAGCCUGCAUCAUUCUGAAUUUGAACAUCGGUUCUGCAUUACUGCUGAAAGAUGUCCUGCAGUCAGUGUCCGAGCACAUUCCUGCCACAGCAGCCUUAAAUGAAGUUGGGGUUUACAAACUGGCUCAACAAGACGUUGAAAUUCUGCUUAAUUUGAGAACAAAUUGGCCUAACACUGGAAAAUAAUGCAUCUUUGAGGAAAGUGUUGUUUAAGAAAGACAAGAGUUGCCUUUAAUCCCAGCACUUGGGAGGCAGAGGCAGUCGGAUUUCUGAGUUCGAGGCCAGCCUGGUCUACAAAGUGAGUUCCAGGACAGCCAGGGCCACACAGAGAAACCCUGUCUCGAAAAACAAACACAAACAAACAAACAAACAAAAAAACAAAGUCAAGAGUUGGAUUGAAGUUCUCUGAUAAAGUUCUGAAUUAAUGAACCUGGACAAAAGAAAACUUGGCAGAAUAGUUUCUUGUCUUGAGUUAUGAUAACACUAAAUCGGUGACCAUCCUCCAUCCUCCCGUUCCUAAGAAAGCAAAGAAUGAAAACUCAGCUGUGAGAAGCAGAGUAAGUGUAUUGCAAAUAGGAAUGGAGACAUCUGAAGACAGAAUGAGAGCAGAGGGUAGCCCUUCCUGACCGCCAUGUCCGAAUCAAGGGGAGCUGUUGUCAAAAGCUGAAUGUCGCAAUAGACUGUAGAAACUCAUGGGUGCAUGCUCAUAGUUGAGGUUCCUGUAUCCAUUUUGGGAAUUCAGUGUUUAUAUAAUAGGUGGAAGACACCUAUAACCCCAGCAACUGAAGGCUGAGGCAGGAGGAUAAGGAUCACUGAGGGUUCAAGACUCUUCUGGGCAACAUAGUGAGAUCUUAUCUGUUUCACCACCACAAAAAGACCAAAACAAAACAAAAACCCAAGACCAAAGCACAAUAGUUUUAUGAGAUGGUGGUUAAGCUAUGGUUGUUCUUAAUAUUCUAUUCUUAUGUCCUUCCAUAUAAGUAUUUCUUUGUGUGUGUGUGUGUGCGCGCGCGUGCGCACGCAAGUGUGAACACACAGGUGUGUAAGGGGUGUGUGUGUGUGUUUAGAUCAGAAAUCAACCUUGGGUCCUGUUCCUCAAGAUGCUCACCUUGAUCUGGAAACAGGCUCCCAUCUGGACUGUGGGCAAGCCCCAGGGUUCCUUCUGUUUCUGCCUCCCCUAGACAGGUAUUUCAAGUGUACCACCGUCAUGUUAGAUUUUCCCAUGAGUUUUAGGGAGUGGGUUCUCAGUGCCAAAUACUUUACCGUUAGUCCUUCCUGGUUCUACUCCUUUUUUUUUUUUUUUUUUUUUUUUUAAAGAUUUAUUUAUUUAUUAUAUGUAAGUACAUUGUAGCUGUCUUCAGACACACCAGAAGAGGGAGUCAGAUCUCGUUACGGAUGGUUGUGAGCCACCAUGUGGUUGCUGGGAUUUGAACUCUGGACCUUCGGAAGAGCAGUCGGGUGCUCUAACCCACUGAGCCAUCUCACCAGCCCCCUUUUUUUUUUUUUUUUUUUUAAGAUUUAUUUAUUUAUCAUAUGUAAGUACACUGUAGCUGUCUUCAGACACUCCAGAAGAGGGCAUCAGAUCUCAUUAUGGAUGGUUGUGAGCCAUCAUGUGGUUGCUGGGAUUUGAACUCAAGACCUUUGGAAGAGCAGUCAGUGCUCUUACCCGCUGAGCCAUCUCACCUGCCCCUGGUUCUACUUCUUGUAACAAUGGCCAUCUUUUUUUCUCUGAAACAUUUUUUUUUUUUUCUUCCGAGACAGGGUUUCUCUGUAUAGCCCUGGCUGUCCUGGAACUCACUCUGUAGACCAGGCUGGCCUCGAACUCAGAAAUCCACCUGCCUCUGCCUCCCGAGUGCUGGGAUUAAAGGCGUGCGCCACCACGCCCGGCUGUCUCUGAAACAUUUUAGAGGCCAGAUACUGCCUUAGUCAUUUACCUGUGGUAAUGAUUAUGUAGCUGAUGAGAUAAAAAUCCUUUGUGUGUGUGUGUGUGUGUGUGUGUGUGUGUGUGUGUGUGUGUGUGUGUAUGCAGUACUAGAGAUCAAACUUGGAGCCUUGCUAAUGCAAGAAAGGGCUCCACCACCAUCCUCAGCCCAGACAGAUUCCUUCAUUAAUAAAUCCUCAGAGACUAAAAUAAAACGUUUACACAAACUGAGCUUAGCUGGAAGAUUUCUACACCUGUAAAGUUUUAUUCUCAUUUUUUUCUUCUGACAUGGCAUUUAUUUAGUACUUUCAAUGCUGUCCUAUCUCAAUCUAUAAUUGUCAGGUUGGGUGCUGGAGAGGUGGCUCAGCUGGUAGGCUGUUCUUGCAGAGGACCUGGGUCCAGUACCUCGCACACAUGUACUCACAACAGACUGUAACUGCAGCCCCCUAGGAUCCAAUGCACUCUUCUUGUCUCUGAGGCAUUGCAUGCAUGUGGUGCACAGACAAACACUCAUACACAUAAAAAUAAAUAAAAUCAGCUGGGUGGUGGUGGCGCAUGCCUUUAAUCCCAGCACUUGGGAGGCAGAGGCAGGUGGAUUUCUGGGUUCGAGGCCAGCCUGGUCUACAAAGUGAGUUCCAGGACAGCCAGAGCUACACAGAGAAACCCUGUCUCAAUCAAUCAAUCAAUAAAGCUACACAGAGAAACCCUGUCUCAAUAAAUAAACAAACAAAUCUUGCUGAGCAGUGGUGGCACACUCGGCACGCGAGAGGCAGCGACGGUUGAAUCUCUGUGAGUUUGAGCCUGGUCUAUGGAGUAAGUUCCAAGACAGCCAGGACUACACAGAGAAACCCUAUCUAGAGAAAAAAACAAAUCUCAAAAAUUGUCAGGCUUGCAUGUGGCCUUCAUUGUUGAUAUUUACUUUGCAGACUGUAAUUUUGAGAAAACUCUUUAAGAUAGUACCUUCUGUUCUAUUUUCUGAGAGAGAGAGCAGCUUGUUUUAUAGCUUAGGCUUGUGUUAAACCUCAAGUACUGGGAUUCUAAGUAUGCCCUCUGUUAUCCAUGUAGAGCCGUAUCAAUGUGUCAUUGUGACUGUGUGUGUAUGUGAGAGAGAGAGCGCGCCAGCCAGCGUGCACGUGGACAGAAGCAGAGCAUGCUGUGUCGUCAGCAGUUCUCCCACCUUUAUGUGGGUCCCCAGGCUCCUGGCAGGCUCUGCGUGCCCUGCCUGGCUUGCAGAGGAAACACUUGCACCUCCUCACCAGCCGCCUCGAUGUUCUAUAUGGCGGCUUUCCAACUACUGUGGAGCUUAGAGUUUUAGUAAUUCUAGCAGACGGGGUCUCCUCACCUGUGUGAGGGUUGGUAAGGUUUCCUUUUUUUUAGGCAGGGUCACUACAUAGCCCUGCCUGCUUCUACCUCCUGAGUGCUGGGAUGAGAGGUGUGUUCUAACAUGCCCCACACUGACAGGUUUCCCAGUGAGGAAAGCAUGAACUUUCUCUACCUCCAUCAUCACACCUCCCCUUGCCUGGGUGGGCCUUCCCUGCCUUCUCUUCCCAAUGGCAGGCAGUUAAAGGGAAUGAAACAUUCCACCCAAAGGGUAGUAGGUGUGGGGAGUGGAGAGAUGGCUCAGCAGUAAAGUGCUUGCUGUGCAGAGGUGAGAAGCUGAAUCUGAUGCCCAGAGCCAUGAAAACCUGCGAGCUCUGGGCGGAAUUCAGUUUUUCCACAGCUAGAUUCAAGGUAGAGAUGUAGACUCCUAGACGCUCACAGGCUGCCUAGCAUGGGCUACACAGUGCAGCAGCAAACAAAGAGACAAAUGGGAGAUGAAAACUGACCCCUGGGAUUGAUUGUUCUGGGCGCCACAUGUAUACACUCCAGUGAGCACACAUAUGCACACACACAAAAGGGUGGUGGUACUCUAAAUGCAAUGGUAUUGAUACUUCAAAAUCAUACCAUGUCAUUAAGAUAUUAAAAACCUUACCCUUCAUCUUUGAAUUUAUCCAGUAUUAAAUGUCCAUCAUCAUUCAAAACUUCAUGUGCAGUACACAGACCCAAUGUUUUCAGUACUGCAAAAAUGAGAAGAAAUGAAAAUACACAAAGUAGAAUUAUUUUUAUAGGUUUAUAGGCCACAUGAGCCUUUAUACCACACCUCUGCCAGAGAUGCCCAUUAUCUUAAACGCGGGCACGAUGUUGUCCAUAAAGAAUGGAGGCGCCUGUUAACUUUGUGAUUCUCAGCUGUUCCAAUGUAGAGAUAAAAGGCUCUUGGUUUUUCUGCAAA